GUUUUUUUGUCUUACUUGACUGUUAUGGGCUGCUUGUUGUUACGUUAGCCGCCACGAAAAAUCGCCUUGCAGCUUGAAAAACUUGUCAGUAAAAAAGUCCUCUCUGUGAGAAGCACGACUUCAUAAAAGUGUACUUACUGCGAGGUUAAAGAAAACUGAUGAGGAAUUGCUACCAAGCUGUUUUGAAGAGUGACAUCACAAGUUCACAAGGAGGGAGCACACACACACCCCAAAAGCUCAAUAAUUGUUUUGUUUUUUUCCUUCCCCCCAGCUUCAGAAGAGAUUCCUGCAGAUGAACGCCAGAAAACCGAUGAGCGGCCGCCAAUACUGCCAGUGUCGCGGCCCGACAGCUGCCGUGGCACCACGGCGGCCGGAGAAGACGACAACAACGACGACGAAGAAGAAGAAGAAGCCGCCCGCCCUCCCGAUGUGCUGAAAAAGCGACUGAAGGAAAAUAAAGAAAAAAGAUGACGUGAGAGAGAGAGAGAGAGAGAGAAUUAGUAAGACAAUGACGAGCUGAAUAUAAAUUGAAUCGAUGUGAACUUAUUCACAUGAACGCAGCAGAUGAAUUUAGUUCCAGCGCAUUUUGAAAUAUGAGCUGCUUUGAUGCCCUUUAUCCCUGCGAGUUAUUUUGACGCAACUCCUAUUUUGUAAUUAUUUUUUAAAGAUAGACUUUUCUUUUUUUUCUGUUCCUAAGUUGCAGUUCACGUGAAUGGUUUGACAUCUGUGGUGUACAUCGUCUGUAUAUAUAUAUAUGACUCUGGUUAUGUCGGAGGCAAACUUCAAUAAAGUAAUGCUUAUUUCCGUCUUCUCA